rnacentral:tRNA from 1 species
UUAAUAGAAGCCAAAAAGAGGCAUAUUACUGUUAAUAAUAUAACUGAAAUUUUAUUUCCUAUUAAG